rnacentral:lncRNA from 1 species
AUGGGGAACAACAUUGGAUGAGCUGAAGGAGACAAAGAAAGGAAGGCUGACCCUAUUCUUUGAAGCUUAAGUGUUGGAGGUACUUCAAAGUCCUGUUGGAAGACCAACUUUUUUUUGUCUUUUAGGCUUGAGCAUCACACGUCUAAAUGUGAUGUCCGGUCACUUCCAUUUCACAAGCAAAACAUUUUAACUAGGCCAAAAUAGAAGAGGAUAGACCUUCGAAAAGUGAUUCUUUUGAGUCAGACUGUCAAAAGUGGAGAGGCAAGUCCUAGAUCUCAGAGCAUACAGCACUUUCAGGUUUCAUUUUGGGGUCCGAGAGACUCCAAAUAGUCUUUCUAUUCGAUCCAGCCACCUCUCCCAACGAGCUUAUCCUGAUGCAAAGUUGGAGGCUUUCAACAGUUCCAAAUGACAGAAAAGGGAGCUGUACACAGCUGCCCUCUCCAAGUUCACCUGCUCCUUAACUCUGGGGCCCUGGCUUGUGUGCAUAAAGAGGACCAGAACUGGAGAGGACUUAGUGAGUCAGGGCUAGGUGGGAGGCAGUUUCUUCCCUGACUGCAUGGAGCAGACUCUGGCAGCUAGCAUGUAGUAAGAGCUCAAUAAAUAGGGAGUGAUGGUAUAGAACGAAAUUAUUUGUUGAAUUUCCAUGUGGGUAAAUACACAGAGUUGGCUUAGAUAGGGGAA